rnacentral:tRNA from 2 species
GGGUGCGUAGCUCAGUUGGUAGAGCAACAGACUUUUAAUCUGUGGGUCGAAGGUUCGAUUCCUUCCGCACUCA